rnacentral:rRNA from 1 species
UACGUAGGGUGCAAGCGUUAAUCGGAAUACUGGGCGUAAAGCGUGCGCAGGCGGUGAUGUAAGACAGGUGUGAAAUCCCCGGGCUUAACCUGGGAACUGCAUUUGUGACUGCAUCGCUGGAGUGCGGCAGAGGGGGAUGGAAUUCCGCGUGUAGCAGUGAAAUGCGUAGAUAUGCGGAGGAACACCGAUGGCGAAGGCAAUCCCCUGGGCCUGCACUGACGCUCAUGCACGAAAGC